UACGUAGGGUGCAAGCGUUGUCCGGAAUUACUGGGCGUAAAGCGCGGGCAGGCGGUCUGACAAGUCUGAUGUGAAAUCACCCAGCUUAACUGGGCGAGGCCAUUGGAAACUGACAGACUGGAGGGCAGUAGAGGUAGGCGGAAUCCGGGUGGAGUGGUGAAAUGCGUAGAGAUCCGGAGGAACACCAGAGGCGAAGGCGGCCUACUGGGC
rnacentral:rRNA from 1 species